rnacentral:siRNA from 1 species
UCGGUUGUUUUUGAAUAUUUGUG